CAAAAGAACCAGGUUCGUACGUAC
rnacentral:siRNA from 1 species